rnacentral:rRNA from 1 species
AGCAGCCGCGGUAAUUCCAGCUCCAAUAGCGUACAUUAAAGUUGUUGCAGUUAAAAAGCUCGUAGUUGAAUUUCGGGAUCAGUACGCCGGUCGUGCCUCCGGUAUGUACUGGUGUCACUGAUUCCUCCCUUCUGAAGAACUAUCAUGCCAUUAACUUGGUGUGGUGGGGAAUCAGGACUGUUACUUUGAAAAAAUUGAGUGUUCAAAGCAGGCUCGCGCUUGAAUACAUUAGCAUGGAAUAAUGAAAAUAGGACGUUUAUCCUAUUUUGUUGGUUUCUAGGAUUUGACGUAAUGAUUAAUAGGGAUAGUUGGGGGCAUUAGUAUUCAAUUGUCAGAGGUGAAAUUCUUGGAUUUAUUGAAGACUAACUACUGCGAAAGCAUUUGCCAAGGAUGUUUUCAUUAAUCAAGAACGAAAGUUAGGGGAUCGAAGACGAUCAGAUACCGUCGUAGUCUUAACCAUAAACUAUGCCGACUAGGGAUCGGGAUGAUGUUAAUUUUUANGUACUCAUUCGGCG